CUUCAGCUCACUUGGAUGAUACUCUGAUGCGUGUGUCUCCCAGUGAGUUCCUGCUGCAGAAGACUUGAAUAAAAUGCACAGAAAGACAAGUCUUUGCCUAAGCUGUUUAUCUGAAAACUCGAAUUGGCAUCACAACCACCUAAAGUUUGCUAAUAGCGUAACUACUCAACGAAAUAAGGCUACAACAGCUGAGCUCCUGAGUAUAGCCUACUGAGCUGAAAAAAGUUUCUGUGGCAUAAGCUUUUUGAGGUUGCUAUCGUAGCACCCAGUCAUCAACCAUUUCUUGCUUCUGGAGGUUGUUGCAGCCUUACAGCGUGUCUCGGCCAGGAUGAAGAGGGUUUGAUCAGGAUGUGGCGCUGAACAUGUGGAGGAAAGGGACAAGUCAUCUCAUCACACUGUACUGCGCAGAGCUCAUUGACAACGUGUAACUGCGAUGAGAUAACACGGACCCUGAAGCAGGAUAAAUAACGCACUCCCUGAGGCAUCCUCACUUAUUCGAGCAUUCAUGUACUCGGAUGUCCAUCAGCAGAUGAUUUAAUAAACCUACAGAGAGACAAGUGUUUGCUUCAAGUUGUUUAUUUCAACUCCCACCACAAGUGAAAAUUAAGUACAUGUACUCAAGAAUUGUGCUUAAGUACAAUUCUGAGGUACUUCUUAGAUAUUUAUAUUCAUUUAAAGUAAUAAUAAUCCAUAAUAUAACACUGAGAGGGGCCGUUCCGCAUAAUGAGUACUUUUCAUUUUCAUACUUAAAGUACAUUUUCCUGCUAUUACUUCUGUUCUUUUACUUAAGAGAAAUUAUUAAUGCAGUAUUUUGACUUGAAAUGGAGAAUUUUUGCAUUGCUGUAUUGUUGCUUUAAAGAUACUUCUUCUACCACUAUUCCAGAGUUUUAAAGUAAUCUGCUUUUACUGUUUGAUGCAUAAAAUGCACUUUAUAAAUGGAGUUGCACUCAUGAGCCUGUGACAGUCUCUGUCUGACAUAAACUAAGGCUAAGUGUUAAAUUAAGUGUUGUUCUCAUUCAGCAAGCACAGACAUCUGUUUCACUCCACACUGGGAGGAGGAAAAGGGAACUGCAACUCUGUUUUCCGCAGAGCUUCAACCUCUUUGUGAUGUAAGUGGUUUGUGCAAACUGCGGUUUGGUUCCCAGGUCCGAGUGCCGAGACAAUCCGGGGAAUGGGAGAUUUUUUCACGUGAACCCCAGAGAGUGCGACAGCAGCUCACCUGUCACUCGUCCUCGCUGUUGGGAGUCCACAUGCUUCCAUGAACUCAACACUGAUGUGCUCUGACCCUCACACGCCUGCUCUCACAGAAACAACACAUUCAGGCCGUGUGCAUCACAAAAGCUCUGUGAACCGUGAAAAAUAACAGAAAGUCACAUUGUUUUGCUCUUUGACCUCUUGUUGCUGAAUGCUGUUAUUGUCAGUAUGAUCUGAGCGUUUAUAUGUACUAAUGUUACUGUUAUGUAACUGAUAUGUUUAAUGUGAUAGUAUAUUUUUAUUUUAGGCAUUAAAAAGCUUUGUUAUGUUAUACAAUCUGAAAGGAAGUAGACAAAAUAAAGGAACCACUGUAAAUCUUC